GACGAACCGUGCGAACGUUAUUCGGAAUCAUUGGGCUUAAAGGGCGCGUAGACGGACGGCCGCGUCGAGUGCUGAAAUCCCCCGGCUCAACCGGGGAACGGGCCUCGAAACGGGUCGUCUCGAGUGGAGGAGGGGGAACCUGGAACGUCCGGUGGAGCGGUGAAAUGCGUUGAGAUCGGACGGAACGCCGACGGCGAAAGCAAGGUCCUGGACUCCGACUGACGUUGAGGCGCGAAAGCCAGGGGAGCGAACGGG
rnacentral:rRNA from 1 species